CGCGUAGGUGGCCAAUUAAGUCAAAUGUGAAAUCCCCGAGCUUAACUUGGGAAUUGCAUUCGAUACUGGUUGGCUAGAGUAUGGGAGAGGAUGGUAGAAUUCCAGGUGUAGCGGUGAAAUGCGUAGAGAUCUGGAGGAAUACCGAUGGCGAAGGCAGCCAUCUGGCCUAAUACUGACACUGAGGUGCGAAAGCAUGGGGAGCAAACAG
rnacentral:rRNA from 1 species